CCCCUGCUGAAUACUCCUGAAGCUGCCAGCCUGAGAAGGAGAGGGCCAUCAUCUUGCCUCCCCCCUGAAAUACCAUGGAGCAUACACCUGACCCCAACACUCCCCACUUCUGUACCCAGGGCUCCCAGAAGAUGGAGGAUGACAACAUGAAUGGGACACAAUCUGUUCCCAGAGCCUGACACCGUGUCUGCCACAUUAACAGACAUUUGGUAAAUAUUCUGGGAAAAGGUUUCCAAGACAAAGAAUCUGUACCUCUUCUGAAGGCCAGGAGAACUAUGCCUAUGAUUGUCCAAAAGCAGGUACUCCUAAAAAAUGGGAUGAGACCUUCUCCUCUGUGAUCUUCUCCCAAACAUACAACUCCAGUUUAAACAUGAAGAAAUCACCAGACACAUCCUAACAGGAACAUUCUACAAAAUACCCAAUGAGUACUAAUCAAAAAUGAGAAAAGUUUGAGACACUGUCACAGCCAGGAGGAAGCUACGGAAAUGCUGAUGAGAGUGCCCUUCCUUAUACAAGACAGAAAGGACACACAGAAACACAAAGGAAAAGGCAACAUGGGAAGACAGACGUUGGAGUGAUGGGGCCCCAAGUAAAGGUCACGAGGAGCCAUCAGAAGCUGGAAGAAGCAAGAAAGGAUCCUCCAGUCUGAGAGAAAGAGGAGUGCAAGUGGGUGUGUGCAGGUGCACGAAGGUAAAUGGACAUCAUGCCCAUCACUGUACUCAAAUCAGAGCCAUAAAACACAUUGGAGGAAAAGUGACUUCCUUGAUAGAUAACCCAGUGAAGUUAUGUACGACGCUGAGUGGACCUAGCUCAAUGGGAAGAAAUAACUCCGUUUUGAGAUUUUGUCUUCUAAUCAUCCUGGGUGCCAAGUCAAAUUAUCUCUGACCUUCAAUUAUAAUUUCUUUAUGCUGGUUUUGGUUGAGGCCCUGGUGUCAUUGAGUCUAAGGAGACGGAGGGUCUGGAUGGUCCUGAGACCAGGGACGUGCAGAGGUUCAAAUGCACUCUCUGUCCCAGAUAGUCACCGCUUCCUGUACCUUUAGCACCACCUGUCUACACUCCAAUUUCAUGCUUGGUGACACCGUUUCCAGGUCUUUUGUGUCCUGAGAGGAAAUGCAAAGCCAUGCCUGGUGCGUUUUGGAGAGCUUUCUGUCACCACUGCUCAUAAAAGGAAGAAUGUCCUAGACCAAGUGGUCUUCUUUAACUCAGGAUUAAGAUAUUGGGAAUGCAGAAGCUGAAGGAAGAGGUUAAGAAAGUGUUUCUUAAAUAUUUAUGAAGGAUGCUAAAAAGAAUAAGAAGGCCUUGGGGAAGACCUGAGGCUGAUGGAGCCACAAAGCUCUAGAAGGCAGCAUGGCUUGGUUUCCAGGAAUAGCCCUUUUCUGGGGAGAUGCUACUAUGCAAGGUUCUUCUAAGCACAUUGGGUGUCGGUUGCCACGGAGCUCCUGGCAGGCUCUGGGAUUUGGACUUCUGACAUCUUGGAGAUGCGGCGUGGUGGCUGCCAUCCACGGCACUGCUCACUGAGCUCCUGAAACUGGAGAUGUAACUGUGAUCAUUGGCUUAUUCUACUUCUGAAGUCACAAAGGGAACUGGAUAAAUUUGAGCAGAAGCUAACCCAAACUUGAGCCACUGACCCAGAGACCUGGGAUCGCACCAGAACUUAGAAUGGGAUCCAUUGGCCAGGGCUGAGCAAGAGGAAAAUAUGAGAGAGGAAAAGCUUUGUGUACAUGUUGUAACUUUCAUUUCCCCAAAUUAAUCAGAAGAAGUCUAAAGAUGAAUUGAUUCAAUCUAAAAUGUUAUCAGAUGAUGAAAAAUGUAAGCAACUUAGAUUGUGAUUAUUCUGUUUUAUGGACAGGGUUAAAAUCCACUCCACAUUCCUCAAUUCCAUCUGGACUUCAUUGGUUGAUGCAGUUGAACAUAACUCAAGAUAAUAGAGAUGAGGGUGGAUUUCUGGCCUACUAUGUGAUCUAAAGAUUUCUUUUUCUUUAAUUUUGGUAUAAUUUACUGCACAGUGAAAUGCAUAGAUCUUAAUUUUCCAGUUCCAUGAGUUUUGAUGAAGCUGUGCACCUGUGUGAUCCACACUCCAAUGGAAGAUAGAGACCAUUACGAGAUAACAGAAAGUACACAUACUUGUCUCCGCCCCUGUUUCUUGCAGAGGGCUCCUAAAACCCUUGGAAAUUGCUAAGUGAUGAGAGGACUGGAAACAUCUUCGCUCCUGAAUGGCUCCUGGGUGUGGGCCUGCUACCAGAAAGACCGUGCCUUGAUUUGAAGCUUGGUAUUUUCACUGCCAAUCCUCCAGAGAAGGGAGCAAGGGUGGGAAUGGUAUUGACAAUUUUUCAUGCCUGGGUGAAGAAGCCUGUAUAGAAAUCGCGACAUUAUGGGGUUUGGAGAGUUUCUGGAUUUAUUGAGGUUUUCAAUGGCCCAAAAUAUGGCAUACCUUGGUGACUGGUCCAUGUGCCCUCGAAAAGAAUGUGUAUUUUGAACUCAAUCAACUGAGCCACCAGAUGCUCCUCCAUCUGAAAUAUUAA